GGGGCAGAGAUGUGCUGCAGUUAAAACGAGCUUGUGAACCGCGGAGGACAGCUGCAUUUUGAGGCUCUAGUUGCACCUGAGCGGCCACUCCUGCAGUGCAAAACACAUGCAACAAAUUCAUAUAGUGACAGGGGCCGGCAAGCUCUGAAAAAAGUAAGAAAGUCAUACCAUUUUGGAACAACACAAGGUUUGAGGCGAUAAGCUUCAUCACAAAAGAAAAGUUGGUCAGCCAUGAUGAUUGUCUAAGAAAGAUGCAUGUCUAAGGAGUGUCUUGGAACUGUUAAGGCAAUCUCCAUUGUGAUACUCGAUCACAGCAGGUUUCUAACUGCUGCUCACUGGAUCUUUUUUGUUUUUGGCACCAUUUGGAGUAAAUUCUACAGAAUGUUGUGUGUGAAAAUCCCAGCCCAUCUGGCACCAACAAUCAUGCCACGGUCCAAA